GAGUUUGAUCAUGGCUCAGGAUGAACGCUAGCGACAGGCUUAACACAUGCAAGUCGAGGGGCAGCACAGGUAGCAAUACCGGGUGGCGACCGGCGCACGGGUGAGUAACGCGUAUGCAACUUGCCUAUCAGAGGGGGAUAACCCGGCGAAAGUCGGACUAAUACCGCAUGAAGCAGGGAUCCCGCAUGGGAAUAUUUGCUAAAGAUUCAUCGCUGAUAGAUAGGCAUGCGUUCCAUUAGGCAGUUGGCGGGGUAACGGCCCACCAAACCGACGAUGGAUAGGGGUUCUGAGAGGAAGGUCCCCCACAUUGGUACUGAGACACGGACCAAACUCCUACGGGAGGCAGCAGUGAGGAAUAUUGGUCAAUGGCCGAGAGGCUGAACCAGCCAAGUCGCGUGAGGGAUGAAGGUUCUAUGGAUCGUAAACCUCUUUUAUAAGGGAAUAAAGUGCGGGACGUGUCCCGUUUUGUAUGUACCUUAUGAAUAAGGAUCGGCUAACUCCGUGCCAGCAGCCGCGGUAAUACGGAGGAUCCGAGCGUUAUCCGGAUUUAUUGGGUUUAAGGGGUGCGUAGGCGGCCUUUUAAGUCAGCGGUGAAAGUCUGUGGCUCAACCAUAGAAUUGCCGUUGAAACUGGGGGGCUUGAGUAUGUUUGAGGCAGGCGGAAUGCGUGGUGUAGCGGUGAAAUGCAUAGAUAUCACGCAGAACCCCGAUUGCGAAGGCAGCCUGCCAAGCCAUUACUGACGCUGAUGCACGAAAGCGUGGGGAUCAAACAGGAUUAGAUACCCUGGUAGUCCACGCAGUAAACGAUGAUCACUAGCUGUUUGCGAUACACUGUAAGCGGCACAGCGAAAGCGUUAAGUGAUCCACCUGGG
rnacentral:rRNA from 1 species